rnacentral:rRNA from 1 species
CCUACGGGAGGCAGCAGUGAGGAAUAUUGGUCAAUGGGCGAGAGCCUGAACCAGCCAAGUCGCGUGAGGGAGUACUGCCCUAUGGGUUGUAAACCUCUUUUGUCGGGGAGCAAAAGCCGGACGUGUCCGGCUGUGAGAGUACCCGAAGAAAAAGCAUCGGCUAACUCCGUGCCAGCAGCCGCGGUAAUACGGAGGAUGCGAGCGUUAUCCGGAUUUAUUGGGUUUAAAGGGUGCGCAGGCGGAUUGUUAAGUCAGCGGUAAAAUCGUGGGGCUCAACCCCAUCCAGCCGUUGAAACUGGGGAUCUAGAGUGUGCGAGAGGUAUGCGGAAUGCGUGGUGUAGCGGUGAAAUGCAUAGAUAUCACGCAGAACCCCGAUUGCGAAGGCAGCAUACCGGUGCACAACUGACGCUCAGGCACGAAAGCGUGGGUAUCGAACAGGAUUAGAUACCCGAGUAGUC